rnacentral:rRNA from 1 species
CACACUGCCGAGAAAAGCCUCUAGAUAGAAAAUAGGUGCCCGUACCGCAAACCGACACAGGUAGUCAAGAUGAGAAUUCUAAGGUGAGCGAGCGAACUCUCGUUAAGGAACUCGGCAAAAUGACCCCGUAACUUCGGGAGAAGGGGUGCUCUUUAGGGUUAACGCCCAGAAGAGCCGCAGUGAAUAGGCCCAAGCGACUGUUUAUCAAAAACACAGGUCUCUGCUAAACCGUAAGGUGAUGUAUAGGGGCUGACGCCUGCCCGGUGCUGGAAGGUUAAGAGGAGUGGUUAGCUUCUGCGAAGCUACGAAUCGAAGCCCCAGUAAACGGCGGCCGUAACUAUAACGGUCCUAAGGUAGCGAAAUUCCUUGUCGGGUAAGUUCCGACCCGCACGAAAGGCGUAACGAUUUGGGCACUGUCUCAACGAGAGACUCGGUGAAAUCAUAGUACCUGUGAAGAUGCAGGUUACCCGCGACAGGACGGA